rnacentral:rRNA from 1 species
UCCAAAACUGAGUACCUAGAAUAUGGGAGAGGUAGAUGGAAUUUCUGGUGUAGGGGUAAAAUCCGUAGAGAUCAGAAGGAAUACCGAUUGCGAAGGCGAUCUACUGGAACAUUAUUGACGCUGAGACGCGAAAGCGUGGGGAGCAAACAGGAUUAGAUACCCUGGUAGUCCACGCCCUAAACGAUGUACAUUAGUUGUUGCUAUGCUAGACAUAGCAGUAAUGCAGUUAACACAUUAAAUGUACCGCCUGGGGAGUACGGUCGCAAGAUUAAAACUCAAAGGAAUAGACGGGGACCCGCACAAGCGGUGGAGCAUGUGGUUUAAUUCGACGAUACGCGAAGAACCUUACCUGGCCUUGACAUAGAAAGAAUUUAGCAGAGAUGUAAAAGUGCUAGUUUACUAGAGCUUUCAUACAGGUGCUGCACGGCUGUCGUCAGCUCGUGUCGUGAGAUGUUAGGUUAAGUCCUGCAACGAGCGCAACCCUCGUGUUUAGUUACUAACAGAUUAUGCUGAGGACUCUAGACAUACUGCCUGGGCAACCAGGAGGAAGGUGAGGACGACGUCAAGUCAUCAUGGCCCUUACGGCCAGGGCUACACACGUGCUACAAUGGGGUAUACAAAGAGCAGCGAUACCGCGAGGUGGAGCAAAUCUCAUAAAAUAUCUCCCAGUUCGGAUUACACUCUGCAACUCGAGUGUAUG